AUUGAACGCUGGCGGAAUGCUUUACACAUGCAAGUCGAACGGUAGAGGGGGGCAACCCCUUGAGAGUGGCGAACGGGUGAGUAAUAUAUCGGAACGUGCCCAGUCGUGGGGAUAACGUAGCGAAAGUUACGCUAAUACCGCAUACGAUCUACGGAUGAAAGCGGGGGACUCGCAAGAGCCUCGCGCGAUUGGAGCGGCCGAUAUCAGAUUAGGUAGUUGGUGGGGUAAAGGCUCACCAAGCCAACGAUCUGUAGCUGGUCUGAGAGGACGACCAGCCACACUGGAACUGAGACACGGUCCAGACUCCUACGGGAGGCAGCAGUGGGGAAUUUUGGACAAUGGACGCAAGUCUGAUCCAGCCAUUCCGCGUGCAGGAUGAAGGCCCUCGGGUUGUAAACUGCUUUUGUACGGAACGAACGGUGAGGCUCUAAUACAGUUUGCUAAUGAC
rnacentral:rRNA from 1 species